rnacentral:lncRNA from 1 species
GCCUUCCAUCAAGAGGCAGAACAGAGAGAGAGAGAGAAUUUGGCUCUGUCGUAGUAAUGCAGGGUGAGGGAUGCAGGACAGAGGAGUGUGGCAGAAGCACUAGGAUGAUAAUUUUUGCACAGCUAGAAAUGCAAAAGAUCCUAGUGUGACUUGGAUGCUUGGAUGUAAAUGAAUAUCUUGCAGCAGUUACACAAAACUGAUGCGGUAACAACAACCCAGAGCCUGCUCUGCCAACAGCCCAUCUCCUUCUCCAAAGCUUCACCACCCAUGUGGGCCCUGACCUUUGACGUCUGCAGAUGGACCUCGCGCUCCUCAGCUCACACCUGUUGGUAGCCAGAGCCAACAAGAGUCAGGAGCAGCACCAGAAGAUCUCUUGGGAUAAGGAUGGUGAGCUGAAGGGCAAUGAAGUCAUACUUAGAGCACUGACAGGACCCUACCAAUCAGGUUAUACAUAUUCUUACAUACAGUCCUGUAUCUUUGUUCUUCCACUUGAUUUCAUCCAGUUAUCUCACUUCAUAUGGAGAGACAAUGCAUGGUGGAGAUGAUCAGCAAUUGGACAGAAAUUCUGUAGAUUAGACUAAAGUUCUACACUAGAGGUGCAACUAAGUCAUGCCAUGUGCAGCAGCCUGGAUUGCUGAUUGCCUCCUGAGACUUGCAGGCUGUGAUUUGUUUCCCCUUACUCCACCCAAAAAGAGAGAAUCUUUGGAAAAAAAAUGUGAAUCUGAGACCUUAUGUGUGUAUAAAUGCAUCUUCAUGUAUGUAAAGAGAUUGCUGAGGCAGCUGAGAGGAGGGAACGAAUGAAGACUGUUAUGAAACAGUUUUAUUCCUUUGACUCAUUGGGAGAGAGAUUUGAAGUUUUAGACAAAGUGGCACUGGACAAGUGUCUAUAGUUUUGAAGUAUGGAGGAAAAUGUUUUUAAAAAGUGUCUCCAUGUGGGGAACAUUCAACUGGAUUUGUACAUAGGAUUACACACACCAUGCAGGUGUCACAGAAGAUGAUGAAUGAUGAAGGAAGUGGGGAGAAUGAAUAGAGGAAUACAUACUAAAACACCUGGAAAAUGUCACUGAGAGAAUGUAUAAUGCUUUUUGUGUGAGUGUGUGUGUGUGUGUCUCUUUUCUAAGAAAAAUGCUAUGUGAACUCCAAAGUGCAACUACAGGGGGUACAUUGUAGACCUGAGUUUGCACUGAAAUAUCAUUCCAUUUAGAAGAUCAUCUGGUUUCCAACUACAAGCACCAGACUGCAUUAGUAUGCUUCUGUAUUUUUUUUUUCCAUUGAAAAAGUUAAGAAACAAGUUUCAUACCUCAUGAAAAUAGGAAUAAAAAUACAGUGUAGAAGUUCUCAGCUCCAACGCGAAAUGUACCAUGGAUCAACUGCAUAAUUUUCAGAAAAUAAUGGUGUCAUUAGCAAUAAGUACGGAUAUCCUCUCCUUUCUAAUAAUUGACAUUUUGAAUUAGUGGAUUCAGUGAAUUUAUCUAAGAACAACCAAAAAGAGCAAAAACGUAAAACACUUAGUGGAGUGCAUCUCAUCAGGACCCGUAGUCUAAUGGAUGAUCAAGUUCCUCGAGUGGUCACGAGCCUGAUCUUCACUUCCACUAUCCCCUCCUACCAAACCAAACAUGUGAGGGCUGUGUGGUGAGCAGUUAUUAGAGAAGAUCGAGGCAAAAGUACUGUAAAGUACCUCAGCCACCUUCUUGUCUGUUGUUACCAGCUUGUCUGUGUCACUCACUAGGCAGGGUAUGCCCUCCUGGACUUUCCUUUCCUGGUUGAGGUAAUUGUAGAAGCCUUUCUUGUUCACCUUGGCAUCCCUUGCCAAGUUUAUUUCAAGCUGGGCCUUGGCUUUCCUGACCCCAUCCCUUCAUAACCUAGCAGCUUCCUUAGAGUUUUCUCACGGUACACGUCCCAGUUUCCACUGCUUGUGCAUUUUCUUAUUGCUCUUCAGUUUGACCAUCAGGUCCUGGUUCAGUCACCCCAAUCUCUUGCCUUUCUUUCCUGACUUGCUGCACCUAGGCAUGGAGAACUCUUGCAUGCUAAGGAAAGCCUCCUCAAAGAACUGCCAGCUCUGCUCUGAAACCUUACCCAUGAGGGCAUUUUGUUGACUAACUCUCUAAAGAGCUGGAAUUUAGCUUUCCUAAAAUUUAGCUUCCUAAUUUUACUCUUUGCCUGUCUCAUAUCCCUCUGGAGCAUGAACUCAACCAUUGCAUGGUCACUACAGCCCAGGCAGCCUCCAAUCCUGAUGUCACCAAUCAGUUCAUUUGCACUGGUGAGCAACAAGUCCAGUAUUGCAUCCCCCCUAGUAGGGUCUUCUAUUGCUUGACUCAGGAAGUUAUCCUCAACGAAUUCCAGAAGCCUUCUGGAUUGCCUACAUCUCACCAUGCUACUUUUCCAGCAGAUGUCUGCAUUGUUGAAUUCCCCCUGCAGGACAAGUGCUUACAUCUGCUAUUGCUGGAGGUGGAGGGCCUCAUCAACAUUCUCUGCUUGAUCAGGUGGCCUGUAAUAGACACCAGUCACAAGGCUCCCUUUGCUGCCUUGGUCUCUAGCUGUCACCCAUAGGCUUUGAACUUGCUCAUGACUAUUCUUUAGGGACAGCUCUUCAUAUUCUAUUCUAUUCUACAUCUUUUCCUGAUGUAGAUAGCAACACCUCCUCCUUUCCUUCCUCACCUGUCCCUUCUGAACAGCAUGUAGUCAUCAAUAGCCAUGCUUCAGUCAUGGGAUUCAUUCUACCAGCUUUCAAUGACGGCAACUAUAUCAUGUUUUUCUAACAGCACUUUAGCUUUCAGCUCCUCCUGUUUGUUUCCCAAGCUGCAUGCAUUAGUCUAGAGGCACUGCAGCUGGGCAGCUGGUCUUGUCACCCCAUUAAAGAAUAACUCCUUGAUUCCUUUUAAGUAUUUCCCUUAAUUUUCCCCACUGUCUUCUCCUAUUGCCCCAGCAGCCACUGCCUCAUCAUCAUAGGAUUUCGUAUGUGCUGCAGUGUUGCCAGCACCUCUCAAUGCACUCAUCUCCAAGAUACACCGACAAUUCUGUGUAAUAAAAAAAUGUAGUAAUUAAAGAAAUAACUUGAAAACAUAACCAAAAAAAAAAGCAAAUACAUUUUUUAUGUAUUACUGUUUGAUGAGAUAAAUAUAAAAAUUUAUUUUUUAUACAACAAACCAACAUUUUAAUGUUAUGAUCUUUAGAAAAGUUAAUUACUAUUUCAUUCCACUUGUCUAGGUUUGACAAGUUUCAAAAUACCCACAUAUCAUACAAUAAAGCUCCUGCUUUGCUACUAACAUCAUGGGAAAUUUGCUUAUAGGCACUUUGUCAAUCCCUGUAGUUUGAGUCAGCAAAACCCACUCAUUCAUGUUUCUCAUGAGCCUUUCCCCUUUCCCCUCUCCUCCCCCUCCUCUCCAACUGUCUCAAACAAAAAGCUGGCUCUAUGUUUUCAGUGUACUGUGAACUGUUUCAUUGCUGGUGGUUAAAAAGAAAGGAAGUCAAACCUUAGUAGGAAUUUAUAGAGUGGUAAUAAAUCCUGUAUAUGCCAUCCACAUGCUCUUCAAACCUAUUCAUGUAACCUCUGUUUUUUUGUUUUGUUCUGGGAUAAAAAGCAUGGACUCUGACAAAUGCAACUACUUGAAAGAAGGAAAAUCCCUACUGUGCUCCCCAUGCUAUCUUUGUAACAAGAGAUUAGGGGGUGGGAGUGUAGCUCACCAAAGCAACCUAAAGCCUGUGAAGCUGGAAACCAUAGAUGACACAAACCAUUCUGUUGUUGUCAAAUGUAACAAUAAGCUAAAGAAAGGCCCAAUGAAAAGGAGCCGUGACAGGGCAUAGUUACACAGACUGGUACAGGAGAGUAACUCUAACUUAAUCCAUUAUUAUGGAACACCGGAAGAGGCUGCCCAGAGAGGCUGUGGGGUCUCUUUAUCUGGAGGUAUUCAAGACACCUGUGGACACCUACAUGUGUUACCUGCUGAAGGGAAACAUCUUUAGCAGCGGGGUUGGUCUGGGUGAUCUCUAGAGGUCCCUUCCAACAGCUGCGAUUCUGUGACUCUGUGAUACAGAGUGGUGGUAGUUAUGAUGUCUCGCCUUUAAAGUAGAAUAGAAUUGUGAGAGAACUACACCAUCUCCACUGACAUCAAAGUUUGGUCCAAAGUUUGGCUCAAUUAGAAGGCAAAGAAAGAAUGUUUGCAGUCCUUGUUUUGUGCUAAUGAAUAUUUGGGAGAAAACGUAAACUCCAUUCACAGUUCCGGUAUCUAUUUUGGUAUUGCACAGACAACCAAAAUUGACUCUACCUCACCAACUGAGGGCUUGUCUGUUCAGAGAGAGUUAUAGCAUUCACAUUUAGAGAAGGACUUGUACUUGGAAGAGAGCAGAGGGAGAAUAUGUGCCUGCUGUGUUUGUGCUCAGGGAACCCCCGGCUGGCACUGUUGCUGGGACUAGUGCCAGGGCAGGAGGCUGAGGGGUCAGAUUUGCACUGGAGGCAUAAAAAGUAAAAACAAACUUUGUAUUACUUACUGAUUAUGUGCAAUGCUUGAUAAAGCAUUUAGUAAAUUGUCUUUUGUAUGCAUAAUUCUCAGAACUAUUCUAAUAAGCAACAGAGACAGUGCUAGAUAAAUCCAUCAGCCCUUCCAUUCUGACGAUUUUGAUAGCAGGCUGAAGGACUGAACACUUCAUCAGAGAAUGUAUCUGAAGUGAGAAGGUAAGCAUACAGUCUGUUUCAGUCCACAAAAAACAGGCAUUGGGAAAUGGGAAAUAUGAACUUUGCACCUUGGUUGACAGGCUUGAUAGCCCACAAAGGGACUUUGUGACGGCCCAUAGGAUAGAGCUGCAUUUUUCCAGGAAUAUUCCCUUCCUUUCCUCUUGUCCCAUACAUAGCAUAUUUUUUUCUAUUCUGAAAGGUAUCAGGCAGAGAUCCUACAGAUAGCAAAACCAUUAUUAAAAAAAAAAAAAAAAAAAGAAAUUGUUUACUUAUUUUAAAUUUUGAAGUAAAAAAUGAUUUUUGACUUGUGCGUAUUCAUUCAUCAGCUUCAAAACAGUGUUCACUGUGUUCUCAUUUCCUUUCAAAUAGUUGAACUCACCGAUCAAUUGAUAGCUGUAAUGAGUUGCUAUCAUCUUUGCAAUAGCCAUGACAGGGAGUUGACACUACUUGCCAAUAAGCUUCAUUGGAGCUAUUUUCGAAGGAGUGAAGAAGUAAAGUGCCAGAACACUCUUACUGAACAUCACAGAUAGCCGACGGGCAGAACUGUUCCAAUACACACUAUUUUGGAUUGUUUCAGCAUAAAAUUAGCUCUGGCUUUCACUGUUAUAUGCUGUCACUAGAAGUACUGAUGCUCAGACAUGAGGAUCCGUGUUUUAGUUUUAAGGGGGACUAUGCUUUAUCGGAUACUGACUGACAUCUUGGAACUUUCUUUUUCCUAGGGGAAGGUUUCUUCUCAUUUCCCCACAACCAUGCUUGUUCCAAAGCCCUCUGCUCUUCCAGUUCCCCAGUCUGGUGUUCCCCUCACAUGUCCUGUUUCCAGACUUGCUCAGUAAGCCUGUGCUUUUUUCUCAGAGACUUUUACCAGUAUAAUUUCUUCCCAUUCCAUCUUUCAGCUCCAAUCUCCUCAGCCACAGUGUCUCUUAAAACACCUCUCACAAUCUUUGGCCUGGUCAACCCCCCCUUAUGCCCAAAAAGAUGACUGUUCUCCAGUCCUCCUCCAAAUUUAUUCUCUUCAUUUCCACAUUUCCUUUCUGGGCAUAGUACAGCCUUGCAAACAUCUCCUCACACACAAACUGUAUUCUUAUGCUUUCUUUUGGCCUUUCUUGUCUUCUUUUCCCUGUCAGUCUUUUCCCAAAAUCUUCAUGCUUUCUCAGCUGCCUCUUACACUUCCUUUGAAUCCACUUCAGACGAUUUCUGACUGUCCCAUACACUUCUUUUUUCUUGUCUCUCCAACACUAGCUUCUCCUCCUGCCUCAUUUCCUCCACUUGGCUCCUGAUCAUGAGCCCCUGUAGCACUGCUGCUCCAGGAAUCAGAGUUACCCAUGACUAAGCCCUGGUUCUGCAGCUCACGCAAAGUACUGUUUAGAAGACUUCCUCGUGUGUAUUCCCAUUUUGGUUGCCAGCAGAGCAGUGUCUGGAAGCCGCAGCUGGAGUAGAAACAGAGGGGUGGUGCUGGGGAGCUUAGCAGAUUUGGACUGGCUUCAAACUUCAUUCAAUGAAGCAUAGGGAGGCAAUUAAUGGGGAAGCCUGGC